GGAUGGAUAUAUUGCUGGAGUAGCUAGAGUUGGAGAUCUAGCUAAAGGUCUUCUUCUAACAGGGGAUAGAGUUGUAAGCCUGGUUGUAAUGUGUAAACAUAAACCUACAGUUCAACUACUGGAGAGAAUAGCUACUGCAGUUGCUGAGGACUUGAAGGAAGUGUAUGAAAAGGAUUUGAAGAACGAAAACACUAAG